AUUGAACGCUGGCGGCAGGCCUAACACAUGCAAGUCGAGCGGGGGUAGCAAUACCCUAGCGGCGAACGGGUGAGUAAUGCCUAGGAAUCUUCCUCGUAGUGGGGGACAACGUUUCCAAAGGAACGCUAAUACCGCAUACGUCCUACCGGAGAAAGUGGGGGACCUUCGGACCUCACGCUACGAGAUGAGCCUAGGUACGAUUAGCUAGUUGGUGGGGUAAAGGCUAACCAAGGCGACGAUCGUUAACUGGUCUGAGAGGAUGACCAGUGACACUGGAACUGAGACACGGUCCAGACUCCUACGGGAGGCAGCAGUGGGGAAUAUUGGACAAUGGGGGAAACCCUGAUCCAGCCAUGCCGCGUGUGUGAAGAAGGCCUUCGGGUUGUAAAGCACUUUAAGCAGGGAGGAAGGUUUGCUGGUUAAUACCUGGCAAAAUUGACGUUACCUGUAGAAUAAGCACCGGCUAACUCUGUGCCAGCAGCCGCCGUAA
rnacentral:rRNA from 1 species